ACUCAAAAUUUUGUUUUCACAGUGUCUUUUUCUCCUCUUGUUAAUUAAUAUAUCCUUUUAAAAUGAGUUGAGAAAUGUAUGUUCUUUUCUAGGAGAGUUUGUAUAAAGAUAUACUGGAGUUAUGGCUGCAAAAUGAUGGCACCCUCGGAGAGGUGAUUGGAUCAGAUUUAAUAAAGAGACAGUUUACUAAGGUGUGAGCAGGAUUAAAGGAACCGACAGUGGAUGGGUGAAACAUCCAGAGAAUGGCCAUCCUGAGAAGCUGUUAUCACCGGGGAGAGAGUUAUUAUCAAACCUGGUGAGAACUGUCACCUUGGCAGAGGUGUCUCACAAAACUUUAGACUUACAUAGCAGAAUGAAACCACUGCCCACCCAGCCUUGGCAAGGCACAGAGGGAGCCAGGCAAUGCAAACACAGCUGCGACCUAUAGGACCAUGAUGUCCACUGAGUUGCCGCCUGUACCUACUUCUCUGUUGGAGGUACAGCUGAGUGAGGAUGCCCUGAUGAGAAGGGGCCCAGUCUGGGUCCAAGGCAAGAAGCCAGCUGCAGUGUUGCUGUGUGCCAGCGCCCAAACCUCAGCUGAUAGAUUUUAUGAAAUGAAUAUAGCAGCGCAUGUUCUGCAUCCUGGGAUUACACUGGGAGCCAUGGAAGGAGGCUUUUAGCAAACCGCCAGUGACAUGAAGGCUGGGCCUGUCGGCAUCAAUAAAUGAUGAAGAGAAAAAUCUUUCAAGCAUUCAGGCCAAAGGAACAAAUUAUUUACAAAGGAAAAAGAAUCACACUGGCGCCACAUUUCCUAUUUGCAAUACCAAGAAGCUAGAAGAUGGUGGAAUUUCAUCUACAGACCACGGAAGAUAAAAGGAAUGCAACUCAAGAAUCCUGUACCCAGGCAAGCUAUCAGUUCAGCUGUCAGAAUAAAAGAAAGGUAUUUGAGCAUAUACAAGGAUUCACAGAGUGUGUCCCCUGCUGUCACCUGCUGCCCUUGUCCUCACUGUGCCUGGAUGCUCUACUCUCACUGUUCUUGUAGUACGUCAGGUGUCUGCUCACCUGUCGCCUCCUCAGAGGCCUUCCUUGACCGCUGUAUCUAAAUUAGCACACACCCACACUCUGCUUGGCUUUGUCUUCACAACAGAGCUCACUGCUUGACACUUUGUUCAGUGUUUCAUUAUUAAGAUUUCAAACACAAAGUUGGAAAAAGUGUAAGUUACACAUCUUAUUUUUUGAUGCAUUUCAUUUCAAUGGAGACAUCAGUUCACUUCCCUUUAAAGGCUUCAGGAUAUGGCCGGGCGCUGUGGCUCACGCCUGUAAUCCUAGCUCUUGGGAGGCCGA